AUAACAUAAUAGACACAGAUAAAUAUGAAAAUAUCAAGAAAAUCAGCAAAUUAGUAGAGAUGAGAAAGCAGUCACUAAUGAACAUAAUUAGAAGUUCUAAAUAUAUUUUAUUGUAAUUAUAAUAGAAGCUAAU